CUCGGCUCUCGCAUCGAUGAAGAACGUAGCGAAAUGCGAUACUUGGUGUGAAUUGCAGAAUCCCGUGUUCCAUCGAGCGAUACUUGGUGUGAAUUGCAGAAUCCCGUGAACCAUCGAGUCUUUGAACGCAAGUUGCGCCCGAAGCCUUCUGGCUGAGGGCACGUCUGCCUGGGCGUCACGCAUCGCGUCGCCCCCCUACCACGACC
rnacentral:rRNA from 1 species